AGAGUUUGAUCCUGGCUCAGGAUGAACGCUGGCGGCGUGCCUAAUACAUGCAAGUCGAACGGAAGGUCGCAAGAUCUUUAGUGGCGAACGGGUGAGUAACGCGUUGGUACCUGCCCCAAAGCGGGGGAUACCGGACCGAAAGGUCCGCUAAUACUCCAUGUGCUCCGCAAGGAGUAAAGGCGAAAGUCACUUUGGGAGGGGCCUGCGUCCCAUCAGCUAGUUGGUAAGGUAACGGCUUACCAAGGCGAUGACGGGUAGGGGACCUGAGAGGGUGGCCCCCCACAAUGGAACUGAAACACGGUCCAUACACCUACGGGUGGCAGCAGUAGGGAAUAUUGGUAAUGGGCGCAAGCCUGAACCAGCAACGCCGCGUGUGCGAUGACGGCCUUCGGGUUGUAAAGCACUUUUUUCCGGGACGAGGAAGGACGGUACCGGAAGAAUAAGCCUCGGCUAACUACGUGCCAGCAGCCGCGGUAAAACGUAGGAGGCGAGCGUUAUCCGGAUUUACUGGGUGUAAAGCGCGUGCAGGCGGCUCGAUAAGUUGGAUGUGAAAGCUCCUGGCUCAACUGGGAGAGGUCGUUCAAGACUGUCGGGCUUGAGGAUGGUAGGGGAAGGUGGAAUUCCGGGUGUAGUGGUGAAAUGCGUAGAUAUCCGGAGGAACACCAGUGGCGAAAGCGGCCUUCUGGACCAAUUCUGACACUCAGAUGCGAAAGCUAAGGUAGCAAACGGGAUUAGAUACCCUGGUAGUC
rnacentral:rRNA from 1 species